CAGUCGCCGCGGUAAUACGGAGGGAGCUAGCGUUGUUCGGAAUUACUGGGCGUAAAGCGCGCGUAGGCGGUUACUCAAGUCAGAGGUGAAAGCCCGGGGCUCAACCCCGGAACUGCCUUUGAAACUAGGUGACUAGAAUCUUGGAGAGGUCAGUGGAAUUCCGAGUGUAGAGGUGAAAUUCGUAGAUAUUCGGAAGAACACCAGUGGCGAAGGCGACUGACUGGACAAGUAUUGACGCUGAGGUGCGAAAGCGUGGGGAGCAAACAGGAUUAGAUACCCCGGUAGUCCCUGUUCUCUUAUA
rnacentral:rRNA from 1 species